rnacentral:misc_RNA from 1 species
UGGUUCUGGCAUCGAUGAAGAACGCAGCGAAAUGCGAUAAGUAAUGUGAAUUGCAGAAUUCAGUGAAUCAUCGAAUCUUUGAACGCACAUUGCGCCCCUUGGUAUUCCGAGGGACAUGCCUGUUCGAGCGUCAUAUAAAAACAUCCCUUACGGGGUCUUGGGAUCCGCCUCAGCGGUCCUUAAAGUCAGUGGCGGUGCCAUCUGGCUCUAAGCGUAGUAAUUAUUCUCGCUAUAGUGUUCUGGUGGUUACCUGCCAAUAAUUUCGACUUUCUACGUUUGACCUCGGAUCAGGUAGGGAUACCCGCUGA